AACCUGUUUUCCGAACUGUCACCGGACGGUGGCGUGACUGGGACACCCAGUAUAGGAGAUGUGGUUGGGA
rnacentral:sRNA from 12 species